UGUGAUUUAUGUGGGUCCACUACCCACUUAUAAAGUUUUCUCUCUUUUUGUUGGUCUUUUCUUUCUUCCUUGAAGAUAUUAGUCAUGGCCUUUGUGUUUGGCUGUGCUUCAGUUAGCUCACCCCUAAACUGGAAUGGAUCCACUGCCUAGUUCUGAAGAAUCAAGUUUAAGGACUUAUCUAGGUGUAAGGAAACAUUGUCAACCCUUAAAGCCAUGCAGGGGCAAGGAGUCUAUCCACAAAUAGAGUUGGACAUAGCUCACCUUGAAAAGAAAAUUGAGUUAUAUUCAUUGGAGAAGCUGUGUUAUGAAGCUCAAAUGAUGGUAUGGUAAAUGAGAAGGCUUCAUCUCCUUUUCAAAUACGAAAUUGCUUCACAUAUGGGCUUUCCUGGUGGUUCUAUAAGCCACUAUGGUAUGGAUGUUGAUGUGAAUAGUGUGUUAUUAAUGGCUAACAUUGUUCUUUAUGGUUCCUUUCAAGAGGAACAAGGUUUUCCUCCAUUGCUAAUUAGAGCCAUGUCCU